UACGUAGGGUGCGAGCGUUAAUCGGAAUUACUGGGCGUAAAGCGUGCGCAGGCGGUGAUGUAAGACCGAUGUGAAAUCCCCGGGCUUAACCUGGGAACUGCAUUGGUGACUGCAUCGCUCGAGUAUGGCAGAGGGGGUAGAAUUCCACGUGUAGCAGUGAAAUGCGUAGAGAUGUGGAGGAACACCGAUGGCGAAGGCAGCCCCCUGGGUCAAGAUUGACGCUCAUGCACGAAAGCGUGGGGAGCAAACAGG
rnacentral:rRNA from 1 species